rnacentral:lncRNA from 1 species
CCACAGGACAACGAAGAAAACCUAUCUUCAGUCCCCACCCACGAAAUGCUGGGGGGUGGGGAGGACUGGAAAAGGAGUAAGGGGAGAGGAAGGGUGAGCAGCUGCAAGAAGUCUUUACACCUCUCUGCGGUUCCUGGUAAACGCGCUCAUGUCCUGGGUAUGGAAGGGACUUAAGAAUUCAGGAAAGAUCAAAAUAACGGGCCUCUUCCCCACUCCCUCGCCCUCCCUUCCCCGCUGCUGGGGGGUUAGGGAGGCUCCGUGGAGCUCCAGCACUCUAGAAGGAUCGGGUGAGGCGCGAGGCCUUGCGGGCGGGUGAACCCAAGGUGGGGUGGAAGGCUCCAACCCGCCCAAUCUGAGCCCGAGGCCUGCUGAGAAGCAUGGGGGCCUUGGGAUAGUUCCAGAAUGAGGAUGUGCGUUUCUAGCUGCUUUGCGCCCUCCUCCCCCAAAAAUCUGCUACCACAAUUCCAACCCGGCGGCACGCCCCCAAGACUCCUUUGUCGCCCCAGGGGCGGGACCUGAGCUGUCGAUUUCAGGAGCCCUUCGUGACUUCAAAAGUCCUGGGCACUGUUGCUCAUGAGUGCUGCACAACUGUCGCCCUCUAAAGCCACCUCCAUCCCUCACUGGGCUGGCCUCCUGAGCCUUCGAAGGAAGCCCGGUGCCAGCCAGCCUUCCUGAAAGACCAAGCCCGCGCCAUCCGGCUUCCUCCAGUGGACGCCUGCAGGACCCAGGAACACUACAUCAACACUGUUGGCGGGGACCUGGACACAGAAGACUCCUGUUUCAAGAAAAUACAAUCAUCUCUCAAAGGCUGUAAUUUAUAUGCAUUUUAAAACUCUAGGCAUUGAAAACCACCCAAGUGUCCCAAAUAGAAGGGUAAUAUAUAAUCAAUCACUCAGUGUAAUAUUAUACAUCCUUUAAAAAUGUUAUUGGGAAAUGUUUUAUGAUCUGUAAGUCCAAGGAAUCCUCUCCCACCAUUUCUUUCCCCCCGCUGUUCCCCCAUACCCACACUUCUUUGUUCCAAUUGGCAUGUAAAUUUGGUUUUCCCGCCAAAUGAGUCAGUCAUGAUGGGAACCUCAACUGAUUUGAACAGAUGUGUGUCAAUGUUACUUGGAAAACUAGAUGUCAAUAACCAGGGUCACAGAAAAAGGCAGUGGUCACAACUCUGUAAAAAUGUAUGCAUGCACACAGACAAGAACUAAAGUGGAACCCCACACAGGAAAACAGUGGGCUGUACUCCAGUGCUGGGACAUUGAAUGACUGUAUGCUGCUUUUGAUUUCCGUUAAUAUGGGCAACUGUCCAAUUAAAAAAAAAACUCCUAA